AGGAGAGUUUGAUCCUGGCUCAGGAUGAACGCUAGCUACAGGCUUAACACAUGCAAGUCGAGGGGCAUCAUGGGAGGACUUCGGUCCUUUUGAUGGCGACCGGCGAAUGGGUGAGUAACACGUAUCCGACCUGCCCUGUACUGGAGGAUAGCCUCCCGAAAGGGAAAUUAAUACUCCAUGUGUCAAAUGUCCGCAUGGUCGUUUGAUGAAAGAUUUAUCGGUACAGGAUGGGGAUGCGUUCCAUUAGCCAGCCGGCGGGGUAACGGCCCACCGGGGCGACGAUGGAUAGGGGUUCUGAGAGGAAGGUCCCCCACACUGGAACUGAGACACGGUCCAGACUCCUACGGGAGGCAGCAGUGAGGAAUAUUGGUCAAUGGCCGCAAGGCUGAACCAGCCAAGUAGCGUGCGGGAGGACGGCCCUAUGGGUUGUAAACCGCUUUUAUACGGGGGUAAAACGCGCCACGUGUGGUGUCUUGCAAGUACCGUAAGAAAAAGGACCGGCUAAUUCCGUGCCAGCAGCCGCGGUAAUACGGAAGGUCCGAGCGUUAUCCGGAUUUAUUGGGUUUAAAGGGAGCGUAGGCGGGAUGCCAAGUCAGUUGUGAAAGUCCGCGGCUCAACCGUGGAAUUGCAGUUGAAACUGGUAUUCUUGAGUGUACAUAACGAAGGUGGAAUUUGUGGUGUAGCGGUGAAAUGCUUAGAUAUCACGAAGAACUCCGAUUGCGAAGGCAGCCUUCGGGGGUACUACUGACGCUGAGGCUCGAAAGUGCGGGAAUCAAACAGGAUUAGAUACCCUGGUAGUCCCCU
rnacentral:rRNA from 1 species